CACACACACACACACACACCAUACACAGGGUGUCCGCGGGGCAUUAAAAAGUCUUAAAAAGUCUUAAAUUGCUUUUCCUAAAAAUAAGGCCUUAAAAAGUCUUAAAUUGUCUUAAAUUCAGAUUGGAUUGGUCUUACAUUUUUUGGGUGUCAUGUCACUGCGAAUAUGAGGCAAUCUGUUCCGCCAGGUCCGUAUUUUUCUCCGGUUGCUCUGCGGUGUCUCUGGUGUCACCGGGGCCACGCCCCUUCUCUUAAAGGGGCCCCGCGUAUUCGGUCCCAUCCCCGACAACGUGAAGCAUCGGCUACUUUAGAAAACAUGGCAGGAUGCAAGUUCAACAGCGGCUUGAAAAGAACGAGUGUUUCUGGUCACGGUGGGUGAAAUGCUCCUGAAUCUGCGUUAUGUGUCGGGAGACUUUCCAGCGGUGGAAUCUCACGUGCAGAGCAAGAAGCACAGAGACUAGCGAAGGCCGCCAGCAGCCCGUGGGGCUAGCUCCUGCUCCGCCGCGAGCUCCUGCUCCGCCGCCCGCAACAACGUCAACUACAACGCUGGAGGUCACCGGAGGAAAUCCAGCGCCUUGCAACAAAGAGCUCAUCACCGAAGACCAAUGCUGCAGUGCGUUCUUCAUUCUGUUUGACGAGACUCUGGACCAGACCACCGCGAGACUCUGGACCAGACCACCGCGAGACUUUGAACCAGACCACCACGAGCAGACAGCUGGACUUCAUGUGCUCUCGGUUCAGUGACCAGGUCCAGUCAGGAUCCUGUGGAGCUCAUGGGCCAUGACACCAGGACCUACUUCAGCAUCUCACAGAGAAUGGACCAAAUGUCAACUGGAUGUUUUUGUAUUCAUACAGUUUGAAAAGGAUUGUUUUCCUAGUAUAUUCACAAAAGCUCAGGAGUAGACGUAUGAACCUGUGACAAACAUCCAUCACAUAGAGACAUGAGAACUCACUCACUCACUCACCCACACACACAUACAUUCUAUUAUGUAAAUGUAUUUGCAUUUUAAAAGCAGCUGGAAUCGUUAUUUAUGUUAUUUUAUAGAUUUUUUUUGUUCAAAAGGAACUAUGUUGCACGUAUUUAAAAAAUAUAUUUACUUGAUUUUAUAGACAUUUGUUCAUGGGACCUAAAUGUUCUGAAAAUGUUGUAUUAAUAAAUAUAAUUUACAACAGCAA